UGGGUCGUUGCUAUGGAGAUUCUGUCGCAACCACCCUGUAUAGAGUUUUUAGUAAAGCUUUUACUAAAGCCAAUUAAAUAAAGCACCAUGUCUGAGGGCGAAUGCUGUCGUACUUCAGAUGGUGUGGUGAUGAGGAAAGGUCUGGCACACAGACAUCAGCCUCUGGAGUUACUUACACUGCAGAAUGGGACAAUGAUAAGAUGAAUGGCAGAGGAACUCUUACACACCCUUCAGGGGGCGUUUUACAGUGACCUGUUCAGAGACAACAUGCAUCAUGGCAAAGGAACUUACCGAUUUCCUGAUGGGACAGAAUACACAGGAACCUUUAACAACAACAGUUCAGCCAUUGGUGAAGCACAUCUCCAAAAUACAUGAGCACGCACAAGCAGCAGAGCUCAUGACUGCAUGAGAAGUCAAGAGUUGUGUAAGACCAUGAAGCUCAAUUUCCUGUCCUCUGGAGUGAGAACGUGUUUACUGUGGAUCAGCAACUCAGCUGGACAUCCACCGCCCUUCAGUUUGCUUCUAUUCUGCUUUAAAUGAACCUGAAGCUCUAGUGUGCAAUUAAA